UAGAGAUUAACAGGAUUAGAUACCCGGGUAGUCCACGCCGUAAACGAUGGAUACUAGCUGUUGGAGGUAUCGACCCCUUCAGUAGCGAAGCUAACGCGUUAAGUAUCCCGCCUGUGGAGUACGGUCGCAAGACUAAAACAUAAAGGAAUUGACGGGGACCCGCACAAGCGGUGGAUCAUGUUCUUUAAUUCGAUGCUAAACGAAGAACCUUACCAGGGCUUGACAUCCAGGGAAGCACUACGAAAGUAGAGUGUGCCUUUUGGAACCCUGUGACAGAUGAUGCAUGGCCGUCGUCAGCUCGUGUCGUGAGAUGUUUGGUUAAGUCCAUCAACGAGCGCAACCCUUGUGAAUAGUUGGAUUUUUCUAUUCAGACUGCCCCGGUAACGGGGAGGAAGGAGGGGAUGACGUCAGGUCAGUAUUUCUCUUACGUCCUGGGCUAGAAACGUGAUACAAUGGCCGGUACAAUGCGCUGCGAAGCCGCGAGGUGAAGCAAAUCGCAUCAAAGCCGGUCCCAGUUCGGAUUGGAGGCUGAAACUCGCCUCCAUGAAGUCGGAAUCGCUAGUAAUCGCAAGUCAGCAAAUUGCGGUGAAUACGUUCCCGGGUCUUGUACACACCGCCCGUCAAACCAUGAAAGUGACCAACACCCGAAGUCCGAUUCGUCGGCCUAAGGUGGGGGGCAUGAUUGGGGUUAAGUCGUAAC
rnacentral:rRNA from 1 species